AGUCGGCAGCUCACUAUCCUCCACUAGUCCCAGGUUUGACCGUUUCUCAAACCGUGCCUUCCCAUUUAUGCUGCAUCCGCGCCCUGAAUCUGAAAUUGGUCGUCCUGCCACGCCGCCUCACCGCGGUAUAAGGUCGUCCCAUCCUGAAUGGCCGGUGCGCAGACUCAAUUGCGACUUUGAGGCUGUCAGCCGCCACCCGGCAACCUUCCAGUGAACAGGAUUCUGGGUUUCUCAAAGCUGUAAUUGGAGGGCCACUCCAGAGGUGUUAAAGCUCCAGCACUUCGAGCCUGCCUCGUGGGAAAGUCUUAGGCUGAGUCUGUAGGUGUCUGCAGUUAAGAAGCCAGCGGUCUGCAUAUGAUUGCUCAGGGGUGGUGGCUGGGUCCAACAGCAUUCACUACAGGCCUGCCUUGAAUACCACCUAGCGCAGUGCUCCGCAUAUCACAGGGGCUGGAAACCUAACAAUUUCACUUCCUAGACAACUUGCUAAAAGUCACCUAAAGACAGUCUGGUUACUGCCAAAGAUAUGCUUUCAAAUAAGAUUUGGAUAAAGAAGGGAGGUAGAUGCCUUUUUUCAGCAGUGGAGUGAUGUCUAGACCAGUAGAUGUACGCAUCUAAGUGAAUUCAUCACCAGCAACAAUUUCCAGAAACUUCCUGACCUCCAGAUUGCAGCUUCAUUAGUGUGAGUUUAAAGCCAACUAGAUGCCAUUCUCAGAUUCCACGCAUAUGGCCAAGGGUCCAGGAAAUAAGAAGAAACAGGUUGAGGGGUUGGUGUUAUGGGGCAUUUACUUGAAUUUUCUAUGCUAUAAUUGUCUCAUCUUUAAAACGGUGAUAAUAAUAAAAUUGUCAGUUAUUAAAUAAAUUAACACAGUGAAAAAA
rnacentral:lncRNA from 10 species